GUUUAUCGUUCGAAUAAAUCGCAUUUACCCUAUGAGUAAAUUGCACUUACCUUUUGCUGUCAUCGAUAUGUUUUCUGAGCUAAUCGUUAGAUGGCGAUAUCUUUCGAAUAUUUCCCGCGCGAAAUCAAAAAGACAUAGCUUCUCUCUCGGCUUCUCUCCGGCACAAAGCAUUCCCCGGUCUUCGGAACCAGCGACGCUUAAACCGCGAAUGUGUGGGAAGUGCCGCCUGUUGCGUUCGUUCACGCGGAAUUGUAAAAACUAAAUUCAGCGGAGCCUCACGCCUGCGGCAAUGGUUAAGUUCUACGCAUAAUAUAUGCCACUGAUGUACUUUCGUUCAAUACAGGAGAAAGAACUCUUGAUUAUCGAUUUGUUAGGUACAAGAGCCAUUUUUAUUUCAAUUUAUCCAUCAUUGGUUUUAAUAAUUAAACUGUUGUUUUUACGUGUUUUUACGUUAUUAUCAAUUAUCAUACGUAUUAUGUUAGGUUAUGAUAUAUAUUGGUAAUUAAGGGCCCACACUAUUAGAAGAUUGUUACUAUUUAUAAUGAAAUUAUUUUAUAUUAUUUGUGAAAUUUAUUGCAUAUAUUUGAUGCUUUUUAUCUAAAUUUAUUGUAUUGAUAAUAUGUAUUUUUUUUUUUAGGUCAUAUAUGGUUGGAGAUUCUAUCUUGAAUUGAGUUGGAGAUUCUAUAUGUUGGAAUUUCUGUUUCCCUCCUAUCUUCCUGUAAAUUGGCAACCUGGUUUAUAAUCUGCAGUAUAUGAUAUUUUAAGAGACAUAAAAGAAUUAACUACAAUAUCGAAAAGACCAAAUAAUCAAGAGAUUGAAGAGGUGCAAUGCUUGGAAGAGGAUAGUGAGGGACACUUAUAUAAACCAUGUAAGAGAGUUAGAAUUUUCCCCAUCAAUUGUUUAUCUUAUAUUUUUUUUCUAUGUUAUCAUCACUAUUUUACUAACAAAAUUAUUUUCUUCCAGUACAAUUAAAAAAACAAAAAAAAGGAUAAAGGAGGAGGAUAAGAAAAUUAAUUAGUUACUAGAACAGAAUGCUCAGCUAAUUGCAAAGAAUAAACAGUUGGAAGAAAUAUAUGAUAAAAACAAUAUUGCGUAUCAACAUGAAGUUGCUGCACAUAGUGAAGAAAGCCGAGAAGAAAAAACGCGUCGCCGCGUCGCGUCGUGUCGCGUCUUACGUAGUGUUUACGGGUACGUUGUGUAUAAGUCCGCGUCUAAGUUCAUCGUCGAACGACA